rnacentral:rRNA from 1 species
GUUGCGCUAAUACCGCAUAUUCUGUGAGCAGGAAAGCAGGGGACCGCAAGGCCUUGCGCUCUUUGAGCGGCCGAUGUCAGAUUAGCUAGUUGGUGAGGUAAAGGCUUACCAAGGCGACGAUCUGUAGCGGGUCUGAGAGGAUGAUCCGCCACACUGGAACUGAGACACGGUCCAGACUCCUACGGGAGGCAGCAGUGGGGAAUUUUGGACAAUGGGGGCAACCCUGAUCCAGCCAUGCCGCGUGAGUGAAGAAGGCCUUCGGGUUGUAAAGCUCUUUCGGCCGGGAAGAAAUCGCAUGGGCCAAUACCCUGUGUGGAUGACGGUACCGGAAUAAGAAGCACCGGCUAACUACGUGCCAGCAGCCGCGGUAAUACGUAGGGUGCGAGCGUUAAUCUGAAUUACUGGGCGUAAAGCGUGCGCAGGCGGUUUUGUAAGACAGGCGUGAAAUCCCCGGGCUUAACCUGGGAACUGCGUUUGUGACUGCAAGGCUAGAGUACGGCAGAGGGGGGUGGAAUUCCACGUGUAGCAGUGAAAUGCGUAGAGAUGUGGAGGAACACCAAUGGCGAAAGCAGCCCCCUGGGUCGAUACUGACGCUCAUGCACGAAAGCGUGGGUAGCAAACAGGAUUAGAUACCCUGGUAGUCCACGCCCUAAACUAUGUCAACUAGGUGUUGGGUGGGUAAAACCAUUUAGUACCGUAGCUAACGCGUGAAGUUGACCGCCUGGGGAGUACGGCCGCAAGGUUAAAACUCAAAGGAAUUGACGGGGACCCGCACAAGCGGUGGAUGAUGUGGAUUAAUUCGAUGCAACGCGAAAAACCUUACCUACCCUUGACAUGCCAGGAACUUGCCAGAGAUGGCUUGGUGCCCGAAAGGGAGCCUGGACACAGGUGCUGCAUGGCUGUCGUCAGCUCGUGUCGUGAGAUGUUGGGUUAAGUCCCGCAACGAGCGCAACCCUUGUCGUUAAUUGCCAUCAUUUAGUUGGGCACUUUAACGAGACUGCCGGCGACAAACCGGAGGAAGGUGGGGAUGACGUCAAGUCCUCAUGGCCCUUAUGGGUAGGGCUUCACACGUCAUACAAUGGUCGGUACAAAGGGUUGCCAAGCCGCGAGGCGGAGCCAAUCCCAGAAAGCCGAUCGUAGUCCGGAUUGCAGGCUGCAACUCGCCUGCAUGAAGUCGGAAUCGCUAGUAAUCGUGGAUCAGCAUGUCACGGUGAAUACGUUCCCGGGUCUUGUACACACCGCCCGUCACACCAUGGGAGCGGGUUCCGCCAGAAGUAGGUAGCCUAACCGCAAGGGGGGCGCUUACCACGGCGGGGUUCGUGACUGGGGUGAAGUCGGAACAAGGUA